rnacentral:lncRNA from 10 species
CCAAGGACUGUGUCUUGGGUCUUAAGUAAACUCAUGCUCAAAUUUUUUCCAGCCCAGUUCAAGUCCUAUAAAUGAUUCCUCAGAGAUUCUACAGCCUGAGCUCUCUGGAAGCUGUUUUGAGAAGUGUUCUCUCCCAGAAAGAGGCUUCUGCGUUCUUACCUCAGGAACCCCUUUGAACAUGGCUCUGAGAGCCAACCCCGAGAAAGCUAGUGUCAGAAUUCAGGAUACCCAUGCUCACCGCAAACACUUUUACCAGGGGCUUCACCAUCUCACAAGUGCCUAAUGAGUCUUGGACUUCAGAGCAGGUUAAAAGCGUAUUAAUCUAGCAACUGUGUCAUUGAUGUAAUUCGUUCCACCAUGUGUGGUUUUAAGAAAGAACAUAUAAAUAUUCACAGUGACUCUGUCCAAUUGUGCCUCUCAUGUGUACUCAUAACCCUGGAGGAGGCGGCAGGAAUUCCAAGUGCUGCGGACAGCUUUCUGGCAAGAUGCCAUCUACUGUUAAUGGAAAAAGACAAGCCGCAAGAAACCAAAGACUAAAUGAUGUCCUGCUUCCCCGCUAGCUAUCUCCUCUGCCCCGAGGGGAUGGGUUAAGCACAUCAAGAGGAAGCUCAGUACUAAAGAAAAAGGGAAAAUUCUCCAGGAGUCUGAGAUGAUCUGAGCGGAAUGAAAUGGCAUGAGGAAAAAUGCCACCGGCUUUGCACAGGGCAGUGACACACGGUCGGGAUUCUGACAGCACCUUUCUGAGAAGCAACUUGGGGAUUCAUUAUUGAGUCUUAUUAACUCUCACACAAGUUGAGGGCUAGGUAUACAAGGAUGCCUUUUGAGGAACAGACUAACAUGGAUUAUACAAAUGUUACGUAAAAUCAGUAAUUCUCAAGUUUAAUAAAAGAACAAAACAGCAGACGGAUAAGAAUAAAUGUGCAUCCUUUUAGUAGGCUUAAGCCAUGUGUUUUGGGCAGACUUUUUUUUUUUUUUUGAAACGGAAUCUCGCUCU